rnacentral:rRNA from 1 species
CCUACGGGGGGCAGCAGUGAGGAAUAUUGGUCAAUGGCCGAGAGGCUGAACCAGCCAAGUCGCGUGAGGGAAGAAUGUCCUAUGGAUUGUAAACCUCUUUUGUCAGGGAGCAAAGUCACCCACGUGUGGGUGUUGGAGAGUACCUGAAGAAAAAGCAUCGGCUAACUCCGUGCCAGCAGCCGCGGUAAUACGGAGGAUGCGAGCGUUAUCCGGAUUUAUUGGGUUUAAAGGGUGCGUAGGCGGGUUAUCAAGUCAGCGGUAAAAUCGUGGAGCUCAACUCCAUCCAGCCGUUGAAACUGAUGAUC